UCCACUUUCCCAUGGUUUGCCUCAGAUGGCUGUGAACUAUUUUUAAAGUUGCCAGAAAAAACCACCACCCACAUGCUUGCUUUUUCCACCCCACCCUUGUUUCAAAACCAGCCUGACUGGUGUAAAAACUGUGACAAUGUCAACUCUGGGCACUCUAGUCCAUUGCAGGACACCACACACAUUCAUGCACUUGUUCACACCUAGGGUCAAUUUAGAGUCCACCUGCAUGUUUUUGGGAGAUCAGAAGAAACCAGACGAAACCCACAUGGACAAGGCAGAAGCAGAUGAGAUUAAUAAUAAGGAAAUGGAAAUAAGUAUAAGCAAAACAAGUUGCUAAAGACUGAUGUGUUGGAUGGAGGGCUGGGAGCCAUUUUGUCCCAGGUGGUGGAGGCAGAGGAGCACCUUGUUCUGUACAUCAGCCGUGAGGGAGACCAUUUACAGCACCAUCUAGAAGGAGUGUCUGUCCAUCAAGUGGGCAGUCCUCAACCUCUGAUACUACCUGUUGGGGUGCCCUUUCACCCUGUGUUCCAAUCACAUCCUGCUCCAAUGGCUCCACCACAUGAAGGAUGCCAACAUGUGGAUCACUUGUUGGCAUCUGGCACUUCAACCAUUCAAAUUCAAGAUGGUCCACAGACUGGCAGCACAGACGGUGGUGGCAGAUUACCUCUCCUCUCAGGGGGGGGAGUCAGCUGCAGGCAAGACAGCUCCCUGGCCUGAGUUGGGCGGUGGGGGUAUGUGGUGGCAAGGGUGUGGUUGAGUGUCAGCUGUGAAUGGAGAUGAGGCAGGUCGAACCAGAAGAUGCCUGGACCUCCUCCCUAUCCAGCCCCAGAAGGCUGACAAGAGCUGGCCCAUGUCCCUCAACUGUCUGCUCAACCCUCUGCACCAGCCGAAGAAGAACCGCGGGGUGCUGUAGGAGGACUGGAUGAAGGGGCUGACAUGAAAAGUCAUACCAGGUCCGGUGGCUCAUUUCAAUCCCUGACUCCUGAGACUGGUGAGAAACAAGAACCAGAGCUGAACCAGAUGCCUUUGAUCAAAUUCCUGAACCAGAUGGCUGGACAGGAUGCUGGAGGUAGUAGAGUGCAUCCUGAGGCUGUGUACAUUUUUCAGCCAUUUGAGUUGUCUGAAAUAGACUCGAUGGUCAAAGACAUCAUGUGUCCCAAAGUGAAUGUAGAUCAGUGCAUCAAAGACUUGGAAGCUGUUGAUGAUAUGGUCAAUCUGACCAAUCAAGAGUGGAAUAAAUUCAUGGCUAGAGUCUUUGGGCUGAAAUGGGAACAAGAAGUGAGCUGAGCAUCCAUGGGAGCCCAAUGCAAUUCGACACGCUGAGCAUCGUCACAUGAAUUGGGACCACCUGAUGAGACAAAUCAAAGACACCUUCCUGCAUUGGCUGAAAGAAUAAAGACUAUACCGAGCUGAUGGAUCAUGCUGAAAGAUCCCUGAUGGACAAACAAAGUAAGACCCAGAACUCUCUUCAAAUGGCACAACUUCAAUUCUAUCAAGACAAUCAACAGUUUGGGAGAGGAAAUGGUGGCUAUCGAGGGAGGGCGUUGUUGAGGCUGAAGUGUUGGUUGAGGCUGUGGUCAAGGUAGAAGCACCUAUGGUGCUUGUUAUUGUGGCCAGCUAGGCCAUUUUAUAAGAGAUUGUCCACAGUUGUUAGAACAACCAAGUUCCUAAAUUCGAAGUUACAACACCUAGACAGACAUUGGAUGAGGUGGAGGAACAGAAUGUCAUAAACCAAAAUUUGCAAUUAACCAUUGAUUCUAAAACAGAGCCAUUUAUUGAGUUAACUGUUAAAGGUAAAGUAAUUCCCUUUAUGGUAGAUACAUGCUCAGUAUUGUCUAAAACUGUGCUCCUUGUUCAGUUUUUAUAUUUACUGUUGGGUGUCAGGUGCCACUAAAUUAGGGUCCAAAUUGAUUGGUCAUAAGUUCGUAGUUUCCAAAUGCUGUCCUGUUAAACUUAUGGGAAGAGAUUUGUUAACAAGGUUUAAUAUUCACAUUUCAUGCCAUUUCAAUGAAAUUGGUCUAUUUUCAUUGUGUCAUCCUAGCUUGUGUUUUUACUCAUGGAACGUCACGGACUGUGUUACAUCCCGGUCCUUGUAUUCCAGGGUAGCACAGAGGGAUGGGAAUUUUUGCAUUGCACUAGUCUGUUCCUCCACACUGGUCCUGAUGCCACUUAUGAAAAUUAUUGGUUUCCAGGGUCUUCAAAUGAAAGUUUGAUAAUUGGUGAUAUAUUUCAGAGUGAUCAGUUUAUUGGCACACCUGUAGAACUCAACCGUGAGCAGCAAUCUCUAUUUAGGGUUGAAGAGAGUGUACCUCACAUGGCUAAAAAAGGAGGCAGUUGGAAGGAAGUUGGCAAGUGGAUGAAGAGUGUGUUAGCAUGUAGGGAUUAGAUAAAUGAGGGUGCCAUUAGUUUUUCACCAUCUUUACAAACAAAGCGCUUUUCUAACUAGACAGGAUGUAUGUGUGGGGUCUGAUGCAUCAGCAGUAGAAACAUUUCCAUUUUUAGACAGAAUCCCAACAAAAUUGUGGUCCAAAGAAUUGUUUGAUAUUGGUGUGAUGAAAAACAGUCAACCAUUGCAGGUGGAUACCAAAUCGAAUUAUAGGCCUUAUAGACCACAGUAUCCUCUUUCAGCUGAAGCUGAACAAGCUGAACUUUUAAAGAAGGGAGCAAUUUCUCCCUGUACACACUCCCCUGUUUCCAGCCCUUUGUUAGCAUUAAAAAAGGAUAAUGGUAAAUACAUGACGGUGCAGGAUUUAAGACUUAAUUAAAUUUAAGUAAAUGAGGCUAUUUUUACAUCUGUACCUAUUAUUCUAAAUCCUGCUACAAUUUUAUCUGAGAUCCCACCCACAUCUCAGUAUUUUUUAUUUAUUGAUUUUUUUAUUUAUUGAUAGACAGUAGUUACUACUUCAAUUUUUGUUUUAAUGGUAAGCGCUACCAAUGGAUGAUGACAAGAGUUUUUACUGAUUCCCCAAAUUUCUUUACCACACAAUUACUACAAAAUUUAGAGUCAUUUGUAGCACCUGCUGGUAGCACAUUGAUCAUUUAUGUAGCUAAGCGUCCAUUGGCAAGCCCCAGUAAAGAAGCCUGUUGUCAUGAUACUGAGGCACUGCUAAUAUUUCUUGCUGAAAAUGGCCAUAAGUGCACACGUGACAAGUUGCAACGGAUUAAACAAUCUGUGAAAUAUUUUGGUCAUAUUAUUUCCAAUAAAUAUAGACAGAUCAACCCAGCUAGGAUAGUUUCAAUUUCUAAGUUACUCAAACCUCACACCAAGAAGCAGGUUAUGUCACUUCUUGGCAUGUUAAAUUAUUGUUGUGCUUGUAUACCUGAUUAUGCAGAAAUCUCCCAACCAUUAUCAGAUCUAGCUCACAAAUACCCCAUUCAGAUGAAUGUUCCAGUAAUAUCGACAGAAGAAGCCACAGCUAUAACACCUUAAAUCUGCCUUAGCCUGUUCUCCUUGUCUGGGUAACUCAGAUUAUGCUAAACCCUUUAGAUCGAACACCAGGUAACUAACAUUUCAGAAUGCUUUAUUUUUGUUACAAAAUGUGACUAUACACAAGGGCACCACUUUAAAUCCAGCAACUCCUCUCCCCACCAUUGAAGACAGUGUGCCACAGUUCUAUUUGACGGUACUGGACAUAAUAUCUAAUACGACCUGACUUGAGUGACAUUCCUAAUCUAAAUUCUGACUGCAUUUAUUUUGUUGAUGGUUCUAGUCUGAGGUUGUCUGAUGCUUUACUGUCAUUUGCUUAUGCUGCAUGUGAUCAACAUUCAGUUGCAUUUAGAACAUUGCUGACAUGAUUCUGUGUCACGUGGAAAUGCAUUAGCUGACUUGCAGACUGUGCAGACACAUGAUACACACACUCUGCUGGUACAGCCAGAUGUCAAUCUCACUGAUCUAAAUGAGUUACCUCUCUUACAACAAGCUGCUAUGAUACAGGAACUGAAACUGUGGAAAGCACACUGCAGAGAGGACCCAAAAUCAGACACAUGGCUGGAUGAUCAGAACAGACCAGCCAUUCCAAAAACUAUAUACUUCCCAUAUUUGGCAAAACUCACUCAUGCCAUGGACCACGUAUCUAAGGGAGGUAUGCUAGACUUGGUAAAUAAAUACUGGUACGCACCUAGCUUUUCAACUUUUGCAACACAAUUUUGUGAUGUUUACAAACAAACAUUGGUAAUAUUCUUCAGAGUGCACAUCCCGCACCUGAUGCACCUUUUGAGCAUCUAUUGAUGGAUUUCAUUGAACUUACUCCUGCUCAAGGAUACAGCUAUUGUCUAGUAAUAGUUGACAUGUCUCUCUUGCAGGAGACAAGAUGCACUUACAGGCUAAACACUUCAUACAUGACGUCAUACGUGUGAAGAACAUGAUGGUGAGGAAGAUAGGAGGUGGCACUUUUCUUAAUAUAUGAUAAUCACGUUUGCCUUGCACCUCUGGGUUUGAGGGUUUAAAUCCCACCUCUGUCCUGUGUGUGAGUGUAGUUUGCCGGUUCUCCCCGUGCUUUGGGGGUUUCCUUCAGGUACUCUGGUUUCCUCCUCCACUCCAAACACAUGCAUUGUAGGCUGACUGGCAUUUCCAAAUUGCCUGUAGUGUGUGAUUGUGUGUGGGUGUAUGUGUGAUUGUAACCUGCAAUGGGUUGGCACCUCAUCUACAGUAUCCCCUGCACUGUGCCCCGAGUUCCCUGCAAUAGGCUCCAGGCUCCCCUGAGACCCUGUGUAGGACAAGUGGUACAGAAAAUGGAUGAAUAAUCAGUGUACUCAGUCAUCCAAUAGGAUGUUGAGUUCCAUGUUCUUUACUAAAUGAAUAAAAAUAACUAUGAAAUGUAUAAUUCAUAAAUGUAAACAUAUAUACUCUGUCUCAACUCUCAUAGCACUCUGAGGCAAGGUACAGUUGGUAACGUAAGAGAAGCUACCCAGGCUCGUGAGCAAUUGCUGAUUAAAUAAAAUAUUUACUUGAGCACAUUGAAGUGUUUGGUAGUAAUUUCUCAUUUUACAGGUGAAUUUCCACCACACAGCAUAAUUAUUAUUUAAAGUUGUUGGAUAUCUAUGUGUGAAAUGGAUAUAAGCCUGAUUAAUUCAGUUUAUAAUAAAAUGUAGACUCUCCCUUUUCACUUCUGGUGGUAAUGUUUUAAUGUUGGUUGAGAUUGCUGCCAAAAACAAAACAAAACAAAACAUAUUUCUCCCAGGCCACUACGCAAAUGCUAAGAAGGGAACAAAACUGAUAUCUUCUGUUUUCCCCAUUGUAGCCAAUUACGGAGAGCACUGAACUCCUUCUUAGGAUGAAUGUCUGAAUAUUUGAGUGCUAUGGUAGCAAAAACACUGUUUAGGAAAUCCCAAAGUGCAAACUGGACAUUGAUGUUUACUGAAAACCAAGUCAUGCAGAUCAGUAUUUGGUAUUUAAUUCUCACACUGUGCACACCACGUGGCAGGUGAAAAUGUUCCAACCUGCUCUUACUGUCUGCUCUCAACCUGUUUUUAAUGUCAACUGACAGUAAAAGAUUUAAAAGGUCAUAGUCAUUAUUUAAAUUGUCACUAGGUCCAACACACCAACAACUAAAGAGUAUGAACACAGUGACUGAAAUUGCAGUGGCAGAGGGUUGUGAAAAACUCAGGAGGAUUUUUAGCAAACAUUGAAUCAUGGUAUGUUUUGUUAAAAAUAAAAGAAAAAAAAAAGAAGAGACACCAAAUUACAGGAAGAGCAACCAAAGUCUGGUUGAAUGUCCAGGAUUGUAUAACAGUGAAAUAAAAUGUCCCAAGACAGGAGAGCAAAGUGCUCAGGUCAAGACACUAUUUUCUACCUACAACUCAAGAACAAGGGAUACUAUUUUAAGGAGAGUAAUACACACAUUCUGUACCAAAGUGACACUCAUGAAAAGUGGAGGAGUACACAUCUGAGACGUCAUAUAUCAGCUACUUACAGUGGUGUAAAAAAAAAAAAAAAAGUUCAGCAGUUUCACCAGUGCACAUCUUUGGACCCAAAUGUCUCAUCACUCUCACAUAGUCUUGUGAAUCACGCACAGUGCAGGUUUAAAUGUCGGGGAUUUUCCUCCAUUCACUAGACAUAAUGAAAUCCCUCGAAUGAGCCAAGGUCUCUAUGAUAUAAAACACAACUGUAAGCACCUAGACAUAAUACUAUGAGUCAGUGAUCAUAUAUCAAUUGACUAAAGCCCAGUACAGACAAAAUAAUUCUGAUUGGAGUGCAAGUAGUUCCAGCACUGCUUGCGUUGGCCUUUUAUUUAAAUGUUUUUUUUUUUUUUUAAUUCUUGGUUUAAAAGUUCAGCCACUUUAAACAAUGUCCUUCUUGCCCUUAUAAAGGAUUAG